GGAGUUGUGGCUCAGGGGUUGAGCACCCAACUAGCACAUGUGAGGCCCUGGGUUUGAUCCUCAGCACUACA
rnacentral:tRNA from 1 species